rnacentral:rRNA from 1 species
GAGCGGUAAGGCCUUUCGGGGUACACGAGCGGCGAACGGGUGAGUAACACGUGGGUGAUCUGCCCUGCACUUCGGGAUAAGCCUGGGAAACUGGGUCUAAUACCGGAUAUGACCUCAGGUUGCAUGACUUGGGGUGGAAAGAUUUAUCGGUGCAGGAUGGGCCCGCGGCCUAUCAGCUUGUUGGUGGGGUAAUGGCCUACCAAGGCGACGACGGGUAGCCGACCUGAGAGGGUGACCGGCCACACUGGGACUGAGACACGGCCCAGACUCCUACGGGAGGCAGCAGUGGGGAAUAUUGCACAAUGGGCGAAAGCCUGAUGCAGCGACGCCGCGUGAGGGAUGACGGCCUUCGGGUUGUAAACCUCUUUCAGCAGGGACGAAGCGCAAGUGACGGUACCUGCAGAAGAAGCACCGGCUAACUACGUGCCAGCAGCCGCGGUAAUACGUAGGGUGCAAGCGUUGUCCGGAAUUACUGGGCGUAAAGAGUUCGUAGGCGGUUUGUCGCGUCGUUUGUGAAAACCAGCAGCUCAACUGCUGGCUUGCAGGCGAUACGGGCAGACUUGAGUACUGCAGGGGAGACUGGAAUUCCUGGUGUAGCGGUGAAAUGCGCAGAUAUCAGGAGGAACACCGGUGGCGAAGGCGGGUCUCUGGGCAGUAACUGACGCUGAGGAACGAAAGCGUGGGUAGCGAACAGGAUUAGAUACCCUGGUAGUCCACGCCGUAAACGGUGGGCGCUAGGUGUGGGUUCC